UACGUAGGGUGCGAGCGUUAAUCGGAAUUACUGGGCGUAAAGCGUGCGCAGGCGGUAAGUUAAGUCUGAUGUGAAAGCCCCGGGCUCAACCUGGGAACGGCAUUGGAAACUGGCUUGCUGGAGUGUGGCAGAGGGGGGUGGAAUUCCGCGUGUAGCAGUGAAAUGCGUAGAGAUGUGGAGGAACACCGAUGGCGAAGGCAGCCCCCUGGGUCAAGAUUGACGCUCAUGCACGAAAGCGUGGGGAGCAAACAGG
rnacentral:rRNA from 1 species